rnacentral:misc_RNA from 1 species
AACUUUCAGCAAUGGAUCACUUGGUUCCGGCAUCGAUGAAGAACGCAGCGAAAUGCGAUACGUAAUGUGAAUUGCAAAUUCAGUGAAUCAUCGAGUCUUUGAACGCACAUUGCGCCCUCUGGUAUUCCGGAGGGCAUGCCUGUCCGAGCGUCAUUGCUGCCCUCAAGCACGGCUUGUGUGUUGGGCCCCGUCCUCCGCUCCCGGGGGACGGGCCCGAAAGGCAGCGGCGGCACCGCGUCCGGUCCUCGAGCGUAUGGGGCUUUGUCACCCGCUCUGUAGGCCCGGCCGGCGCUUGCCGAUCAACCAAAUUUUUAUCCAGGUUGACCUCGGAUCAGGUAGGGAUACCCGCUGAACUUAAGCAUAUCAAUAAGCGGAGGCU